rnacentral:rRNA from 1 species
AUUGAACGCUGGCGGCAGGCCUAACACAUGCAAGUCGAACGAGUGGCGGACGGGUGAGUAAUGUCUGGGAAACUGCCCGAUGGAGGGGGAUAACUACUGGAAACGGUAGCUAAUACCGCGUACCAUCGGAUGUGCCCAGAUGGGAUUAGCUUGUAGGUGAGGUAACGGCUCACCUCGGCGACGAUCCCUAGCUGGUCUGAGAGGAUGACCAGCCACAUGGGAACUGAGACACGGUACAGAUUCAUACGGUAGGGAGCAGUGGGGAAUAUUGCACAAUGGGGGCAAGCCUGAUGCAGCCAUCACGGUGGUAUGAAGAAGGCCUUCCGGUUGUAAAGUACUGUCAGCGGGGAGGCUUUACCCGCAGAAGAAGCACCGGCCUACUCCGUGCCAGCUGCCGCGGUCAUAC